GGCUGUCCAUCAGUACAAACAACAUGGACUCUCUUGGACAAGCUAAAAAUCAGAAAAGGCCUAAACAAGAUGGGCCGACUCUACUAGGACAAGCUAAAGCAAAGGCUAAACAAAGGCCUUGAAUUAUUGGACUCAAAAGAAGUAAAUAAAGACUUACACAAUUUGCCCAUGAGUUCUGAAAUUGAAAUUAAAAAGAAAACCAACACAAACCAUAAACAAUAAACCGG
rnacentral:lncRNA from 1 species